GAGAUCAUUUACGCAUUGUGACCGUCGCCGGUCCAGCUACACCUGGAGGAAUUAUAACUGGAUACCCGUACGCAUAGAGCUGGGUGAUAAAAGCUUUGGAACUAGUCCGGGUGGAGUACUAACCAAUUACUUGAGUACUAAGCAACACCCAACAUGCAGGUGUUUACGAGGAUGACACGAGUUUCACUGACGAUGGAGUUACAGUAAAAGUCGCUCUGGAAGAUUAAUCUGGACUUAGUGAAAACGAGAGAGCGAAGCGGUCCCGAACUCCCGAGUAUAGCGUGUCUGAGGACUGAUGGCCGCAAUUUGGAAGGAGAGACCUCGGAUGAGCGAAGGAGUCCUGGUCCGUUACUGGACGGAAAGACUGGGCCGAUUCAAGUGGAACACGAGGAGAGGAGAGGGACUUCCAGAGGAGAAGCCUCAGGCAUCAGAGGAGAUGAUCCCAAACUAACCAGCACUACUUUCGCCUUGACACAAUCAUACAGUGGUUUGCUGUUUGGGACAAAACCGCAGCUUGAUCCUGAAUCUGACCAAACUCAAGGACUUUCACCUGGGGAGUGUUACAGAGAGCACCUUGUGGAGAUCAACAGACUGUGGAUCCACCUAUGAGAGGAUGAAUGACAAAGUGGGAUCUAAGACUGUGCUGAGUUACCUGUAUGUCUGUCCAUCCAACAAG